GCAUCAUUUCUGAAUUGUUGCUAAGUCCACAAAGGAUGUACUGACAGCUGGCCUUCCCUGCCAUUCUUAGAAGUGGUUUUGCAAGCAGUAGUUAUUUUUUAAAGUGUUACAGGAUGUUCAACGGAGGUACUGGUUUUGAAAGUUUAUUCCUAAAUGCAAACCUGGACUCGACAGCAGACUUUGUUCUUGGUAUAUCCCAAUUCCCACUAGAGUGAAAAAGAAGUAUCAGGACUUCCCUUUUAUGGAACCCUUUGCCAAGUCUCUAACAGUGUCUAGGUGGGCAGAAUGCAGAUACAAUGAUGGGGUCUAUUGGGAAAUGGGCAAAUGAACUCAACAGACAGUUCUCAAAGCAAGUGCAAGCAAGCACAAAUAGAUACACAAAAAGAUGUUCACGGCAUCCUCAGCCAUCAUGGAAGUGCAAUGGAAAACUAUGCUGAGAUCCCAUCUCAUACUAAUUAGGAAAUUAAAACAAAUGCUGGCAAUGAUGCUGGGGAACAAGAAGCCUACACUAUUGGGAGGGACAUAAGCAAAAGUAGACACUAUAGAAAUCAGCAUGAAGCUUCCACAGCACAAUCACAAAGAGAACUACCAGCUGAUUAGACUAUUCCACCUAUGUGGAUAUCCAAGUCAGCAUACUAUAGAGAUGUUUGCACAUUAAUGCUUGCUAUGGCACCA
rnacentral:lncRNA from 1 species